AACGAACGCUGGCGGCAUGCCUAACACAUGCAAGUCGAACGAGACCUUCGGGUCUAGUGGCGCACGGGUGCGUAACGCGUGGGAACCUGCCCUUAGGUUCGGAAUAACUCCCCGAAAGGGGUGCUAAUACCGGAUAAUGUCUUCGGACCAAAGAUUUAUCGCCUUUGGAUGGGCCCGCGUUGGAUUAGCUAGUUGGUAGGGUAAAAGCCUACCAAGGCGACGAUCCAUAGCUGGUCUGAGAGGAUGAUCAGCCACACUGGGACUGAGACACGGCCCAGACUCCUACGGGAGGCAGCAGUGGGGAAUAUAGGACAAUGGGCGAAAGACUGAUCCAGCAAUGCCGCGUGAGUGAUGAAGGCCUUAGGGUCGUAAAGCUCUUUUACCCGGGAUGAUAAUGACAGUACCGGGAGAAUAAGCUCCGGCUAACUCCGUG
rnacentral:rRNA from 1 species